AAAAUACUACCUCCGUCCCAAAAUUCUUGUCUUAGAUUCGUCUAGAUAUGGAUGUAUCUAAUACGAAAACGUGACUUGAUAUAUUCGUACUUAGACAAAUCUAAGGCAAGAAUUUUUUGGAGGGAGGGAGUAUAUG
rfam:Triticum aestivum genome assembly, contig: Triticum_aestivum_CS42_TGACv1_scaffold_471060_6AL